UCCCUGGUAGUAUAUCGGUUAGUACACGCGCCUGUCAUCAAAUGCAAACAUUGUGACGUCUUCGCGCGAAAGCUGGGUUCGACUCCCAGCCAGGGAG